GCAAUACUUGGUCGGUGAGUGGUAGAAUGCUCGGCUGCCACGCGGGCGGCCCGGGUUCGACUCCUGGUCGAUGCA